GCCAGAGAGGCUUAGUGGUUUGAGUGGUGAACUAUGACUCUGGAGACCAGGAUUCAAUUCCCAGCUCAGGCA